CUCCCGGUGUUUCUAAACACCACCCUACUUCUUAUGACUUUAAUUAU
rfam:Emiliania huxleyi CCMP1516 EMIHTscaffold_4_Cont302, whole genome shotgun sequence.